rnacentral:rRNA from 1 species
UACGUAGGGGGCAAGCGUUGUCCGGAUUUAUUGGGCGUAAAGAGCGUGUAGGCGGUUUGGUAGGUCCGCUGUGAAAACUCGAGGCUCAACCUCGAGACGCCGGUGGAAACCAUCAGGCUAGAGUCCGGAAGAGGAGAGUGGAAUUCCUGGUGUAGCGGUGAAAUGCGCAGAUAUCAGGAAGAACACCCGUGGCUAAGGCGGCUCUCUAGUACGGUACUGACGCUGAGACGCGAAAGCGUGGGGAUCAAACAGG